CUUAAGUCAGGAGUGAAAGGCUACGGCUCAACCGUAGUAAGCUCUUGAAACUGGGAAACUUGAGUGCAGGAGAGGAAGGUAGAAUUCCAGGUGUAGCGGUGAAAUGCGUAGAGAUCUGGAGGAAUACCGAUGGCGAAGGCAGCCUUCUGGCAUCAUACUGACACUGAGGUUCGAAAGCGUGGGUAGCAAGCAGGAUUAGAUACCCUGGUAGUCCACGCCGUAAACGAUGUCUACUAGUCGUUGGGUCCCUUGAGGACUUAGUGACGCAGCUAACGCAAUAAGUAGACCGCCUGGGGAGUACGGCCGCAAGGUUAAAACUCAAAUGAAUUGACGGGGGCCCGCACAAGCGGUGGAGCAUGUGGUUUAAUUCGAUGCAACGCGAAGAACCUUACCUGGUCUUGACAUAUCUAGAAUCCUGCAGAGAUGCGGGAGUGCCUUCGGGAAUUAGAAUACAGGUGCUGCAUGGCUGUCGUCAGCUCGUGUCGUGAGAUGUUGGGUUAAGUCCCGCAACGAGCGCAACCCUUGUCCUUAGUUACCAGCGGUUCGGCCGGGAACUCUAAGGAUACUGCCAGUGACAAACUGGAGGAAGGCGGGGGCGACGUCAAGUCAUCAUGGCCCUUACGACCAGGGCUACACACGUGCUACAAUGGUAGGUACAGAGGGCAGCUACACAGCGAUGUGAUGCGAAUCUCAAAAAGCCUAUCGUAGUCCAGAUUGGAGUCUGCAACUCGACUCCAUGAA
rnacentral:rRNA from 1 species